UCGCCCUUAGAGUUUGAUCCUGGCUCAAGACGAACGCUGGCGGCGCGCCUAACACAUGCAAGUCGAACGAGCGAGAGAGAGCUUGCUUUCUCGAGCGAGUGGCGAACGGGUGAGUAACGCGUGAGGAACCUGCCUCGAAGAGGGGGACAACAGUUGGAAACGACUGCUAAUACCGCAUAAGCCCACGACCCGGCAUCGGGUAGAGGGAAAAGGAGCAAUCCGCUUUGAGAUGGCCUCGCGUCCGAUUAGCUGGUUGGUGAGGUAACGGCCCACCAAGGCGACGAUCGGCAGCCGGACUGAGAGGUUGAACGGCCACAUUGGGACUGAGACACGGCCCUGACUCCUACGGGAGGCAGCAGUGGGGAAUAUUGCACAAUGGGGGAAACCCUGAUGCAGCGACGCCGCGUGGAGGAAGAAGGUCUUCGGAUUGUAAACUCCUGUUGUUGAGGAAGAUAAUGACGGUACUCAACAAGGAAGUGACGGCUAACUACGUGCCAGCAGCCGCGGUAAAACGUAGGUCACAAGCGUUGUCCGGAAUUACUGGGUGUAAAGGGAGCGCAGGCGGGAAGGCAAGUUGGAAGUGAAAUCCAUGGGCUCAACCCAUGAACUGCUUUCAAAACUGUUUUUCUUGAGUAGUGCAGAGGUAGGCGGAAUUCCCGGUGUAGCGGUGGAAUGCGUAGAUAUCGGGAGGAACACCAGUGGCGAAGGCGGCCUACUGGGCACCAACUGACGCUGAGGCUCGAAAGUGUGGGUAGCAAACAGGAUUAGAUACCCUGGUAGUCCACACUGUAAA
rnacentral:rRNA from 1 species